rnacentral:rRNA from 1 species
UACGUAGGGUGCGAGCGUUAAUCGGAAUUACUGGGCGUAAAGCGUGCGCAGGCGGCGUCGCAAGUCAGGCGUGAAAUCCCCGGGCUUAACCUGGGAAUGGCGCUUGAAACUACGAUGCUGGAGUAUGGCAGAGGGAGGUGGAAUUCCACGUGUAGCGGUGAAAUGCGUAGAUAUGUGGAGGAACACCGAUGGCGAAGGCAGCCUCCUGGGCCAAUACUGACGCUCAUGCACGAAAGCGUGGGGAGCAAACAGGAUUAGAAACCCCAGUAGUCC